rnacentral:tRNA from 1 species
UCCCUGGUGGUUCAGCAGUUAGGACUCUGUGCUUCCACUGCAGGAGGCACAGGUUCAAUCCCCGGUCAGGGAA